UCAGCUCUGGCUCUUUUCCCUUUGUGUGUCCCUGACAGGGGGCUACCUCUUCCGUCUGGGCCCCGAAUGCAGGAGGCUGGUGGCACAGAGCCACAGCCAGCUGGCAAGGGCCACACGAGAAUCAGAACCCCGUUGGGGAAGCCACUGAGAGGCCAUCGACGUGACCGGCCUCGUCCAUCCCAGCCCAUGUCAUCUCCUCUCUGCCCAGGCCAGACAUCUUCACCCCUGCUGCAGGGCGGUGUGGCAGCCUCCUGAAGAGGAUGAGAUCUGGAACCGAACUGCCUGCUCUCAAGGGACAGUGCAGUGACCCGUGGCAGAGUGCCACUCCCGCGGGGGCCUGGAAGGAGGCUGAGACCACGGCAGAAACCUUCUGCAGGACAGCAGUUCAAGUCCAGGACCUGCACAGGAAGAGGGGCCUGCUCACAAUCAGGUUCUCCUGGAGCACCUGGGAGACUAUGACUGCCCAACAGGGACAAGCCGCCAAGUCCCCGGAGGGUUACACUGACCACUCCAACUUUAAACGCUGCAGAUGCGAAGCUUCCUUUUGGAGUACCUUUCUAUUGUACCUCGUACACCAAUUGUCUGGCCUUCCACAGGAAGUUCUGGGUGUGUCUAGUAAUCACCUAGACUGACAAACAGAACUAACUGACCCAAAUCCAAAAGAAACAAAAAAGUCAACAGACAUAGACACUUGGGUUAUUCCAAACACCGGAAUGAGCGGACACGGACUUCCAUCACAAUACAAAUGUUCAAGAAAGCAGAGGGAAAAAUGGGAGAAACCGAUGAAAAGAUGUGGAAUUUCAGCAGAGAAUGAAAAUAUAUUUUAACUGAAAAACAAUAAAAAUUAAG